UAGAUACCCGGGUAGUCCACGCCCUAAACGAUGCGAACUGGAUGUUGGGUACAUUACGGUACUCAGUGUCGAAGCUAACGCGUUAAGUUCGCCGCCUGGGGAGUACGGUCGCAAGACUGAAACUCAAAGGAAUUGACGGGGGCCCGCACAAGCGGUGGAGUAUGUGGUUUAAUUCGAUGCAACGCGAAGAACCUUACCUGGCCUUGACAUCUGUCGAAUCCUGCAGAGAUGCGGGAGUGCCGCAAGGAACGACAAGACAGGUGCUGCAUGGCUGUCGUCAGCUCGUGUCGUGAGAUGUUGGGUUAAGUCCCGCAACGAGCGCAGCCCUUGUCCCUAGUUGCCAACACGUAAUGGUGGGAACUCUAGGGAGACUGCCGGUGACAAACCGGAGGAAGGUGGGGAUGACGUCAAGUCCUCAUGGCCCUUACGGCCAGGGCUACACACGUACUACAAUGGUCGGUACAGAGGGUCGCGAAGCCGCAAGGUGGAGCCAAUCCCAGAAAACCGAUCCCAGUCCGGAUUGGAGU
rnacentral:rRNA from 1 species